rnacentral:rRNA from 1 species
AUGCAUUCUAUUGGCAAGAUCGUCUGCAAACUCUUGGCAAACCGUUUGGCCCCUCUAUUGCACCGGAUUGUGCCACACUUGCAAAGUGCAUUCAUCAAGAACCGCAGCAUCCAAGACAAUUUCCUGUAUGUCAAAAACACGGUUAGACUGUUGCACCAAUCCAAGGAUCCGGCCCUUCUGUUGAAGCUAGACAUCGUCGGUGCGUUUGACUCAGUUUCCUGGAGAUAUAUGUUCGAGCUCAUGACAGCCAUUGGUUUUGGCCCAAGAUGGUGUGACAUCAUGGCUAUUAUGUGGACCUCUGCAUCUUCUUGGAUCAUGGUCAAUGGGCAGCUUGGUUCUCCCUUCUUCCAUCAAAAAGGGUUGCGGUAG